UACGGGGGGGGCAAGCGUUGUUCGGAAUUACUGGGCGUAAAGGGCUCGUAGGUGGCCAACUAAGUCAGACGUGAAAUCCCUCAGCUUAACUGGGGAACUGCGUCUGAUACAGCACGUCUUGAGUCCGAUAGAGGUGGGUGGAAUUCCUAGUGUAGAGGUGAAAUUCGUAGAUAUUAGGAAGAACACCGGUGGCGAAGGCGGCCCACUGGAUCGGUACUGACGCUGAGGUGCGAAAGCGUGGGGAGCGAACGGG
rnacentral:rRNA from 1 species